rnacentral:rRNA from 1 species
AACGAACGCUGGCGGCAUGCCUAACACAUGCAAGUCAAACGCCAUGGUUUCGGCCAUGGAGUGGCGCACGGGUGAGUAACGCGUGGGAACCUGCCUAGCAGUAUGGGACAACCGCGGGAAACUGCGGCUAAUACCGUAUACGCCCUUACCUCGGGAGACUGGGGAGGGGGAAAGAUUGAUCGCUGUUGGAGGGGCCCGCGUCGGAUUAGGUAGUUGGUGGGGUAAAGGCCUACCAAGCCUGCGAUCCGUAGCUGGUCUGAGAGGAUGAUCCGCCACACUGGGACUGAGACACGGCCCAGACUCCUACGGGAGGCAGCAGUGGGGAAUUUUGGACAAUGGGCGAAAGCCUGAUCCAGCCAUGCCGCGUGAGUGAAGAAGGCCUUCGGGUUGUAAAGCUCUUUCAGCUGGAAAGAAAACGCUCGGGAUAAUACCCCGGGCGGAUGACGGUACCAGCAGAAGAAGCACCGGCUAACUACGUGCCAGCAGCCGCCGUAAUAC